AUAAUAAAAUCUUAUUGGUUGGUGAACCUGGUUCACCAUAACAGGUGGACCUAAGAAUAACUCCAUCCGGAAACCUUAAACAGUAAGCUCGACGUUCCAUAAUUUGUUUGUUACAAUAACAUGUCAGUACAAAUUAAUAGAGGUGAAAAACUCUUAUAGUGAUAGGCAUUAGCAAGUCAACUUAUCAAGAAUAUUAUGACUCGUAUCAUCUUUUAUAAUAUAAUUUUAUAAAACAGAAUCAUUUUUUUCGUAAAAAUAAUGUUUGAUUAACCAUAGCUCCAUUAUAAGACCAUUAAUGAUUAGGGGGGUUGAACUGAAUUAUAUGUUGAAUAGAUCGUUUUAAAAUAAAAAUUUUGUUUCAAAACUAAGUGUUGUUUUAUAAUUUCAAUACAAAAUUUAUUGACUUUAUAUUAUAAUAUAUUUUUUAUUGGUUGAAAUGUGGUUAGAUGUAUUGGUAAUUAUAUUUUUAUUUAGUAAAUAUACAAAAUGAAAUAUUUUAUUAAUAUGUGUGUCUAAAUCUAAAACAACAAUUAAAAUAAAACUAAGGGAAUAUUGAACUUUUAAAUUUUGGUUUAUUCAAUAACACAUGAGCAAAAUACGUGGUAUGAAAAUAAAACUAACAGUUGAAUAACAACAAAUUAGUAGGAAAACAGCAAUAUGUUUAUUUUACUAAAAUCCACUAAAUAAGGACACUUGUAUUAUGCAUUAUACAAUUUGUAUACAGUAACUAUUUGACGCUAUUGGAGGAAUAAAUAUCGAAAGGUACUAAAAGCAUCAUUAACCCAGUUUCUUAACUGAGUAUCUUAGCAUCAUUAGAAUUUAAAAAAAUAACCAUUAAGAAAAAAGACCGUUCUUCUAUCUCCUGAAUAGAAGACGUCUCUUAGAGCUUCUUCUUUUCUCUCUGCAACAACAACAAAGCUGAGACAAUAGGUUGCUUCCUCCAUUCUCCUCUUCAUGAAUUCCUCCCAAGCUUGCUUCCGCCCCCAUUCUCUUCUUCCUCCAUUUGUGUGUUAGGGUUCCGAUUUGACUUGAGUCAACUCAAUCGGAGACAGAGAGAAAGAAGAUUCGAGCAUCCAAUCAUAGCGGGAAAGGCGGCGGAGUAAUAGAAGAGCUUCCGAGCAUAAUCGUGAGUCAGCGCGAUUUCUUAGGUUUAAUUUUCGUAGUACUUUUUCUCUGCUCGGUUAAUCUGCUCUGUUUCAUAGUUCUUAGGUUCAAUUUUCAGGAAAAGCAAUAACCUAGUUUGUAGUGCCUUUUCUUUGCUCGAUCAGGUCUUUGCGCGGUGGGAUUCGUGGACGAUCAUUACCUUGCUCGUACUGCCUUUUCUGUGCUCGACAAGUCUUCAAAAUUUACCCCUUUGUGUAAUUUGGUUGUAUCAGAACAUGAGGAAAUAUAUUUGACAAAUCAAUUACUUGUCAGGUUAUAGAUGAGUACCAUAAAAGUUUUGGUUAGACAUGGAAGUCUGCUAAAGAAGACUCUGCUCAGCCUUGGCCAUACUUGGACAAUGCUCUUACCAAAUUUCAGGACCCAGUAGAGGCUGAUAAGCUGUUGAAAAUCCAGAGGGAGUUGGAUGAGACCAACAUUAUCCUUCAUAAAACUAUUUAUAGCGUUCUAGCCCGUGGUGAGAAGCUAAACAGCCUAGUGGAGAAGACCUCGAUGAUGGUUUUUAUUUCAAUGGCUCCUCCGUCCCAGUUCCUGCUCCUUCGUAUGGAAAAACCUCAGAGAAGAUUGAUUAUGGAUUCAAGCCUAGAGGUAACAAUAUUUCUGUUCACUCCAUAUUUUCUAUUUUUUUUUAAGAACCCCCAAAUAAGAUAUUUUCAUUGGAGCACAUAAAUAUUGGUGUCUCUUAACUAGGUCUUUUAAGUAACAUUUAAUACUUAAAAAUAAUUAAAAGACCUAAAGUGGGUUUUUGAGUUAAUGAUGCUCUAAGGUAGUCGACAAAUAAAACAUGCGAAUCCAAGCCUUGUUACACAAAAACACAAAUUACUGCAUCUUUUAAGAAAAGAGAAUUUACUCACUUUUACCGUUGCGGAAAUUAGUAAAUACGACCACAAUUCCACAAGUACGAGAGCGAAAAACACAAAUAAUUUGCUUUCAUUAUUUCUGUGACAACCCGUCCCGUGGGCCCUAGGUUCACAUCGCUGCAGCGCACUUACCUCAACUCUUUCAUUACGAGUUCUCUUUGACUUCAUAAUUAGGUUGUUGGUGAGUCUCGAACCUAUGACUUCACCCUUUAAUAACACUCCUCCAAAAUAAAUUGUCACCAACAAAUAGUUACUACAGAAGGGAUUGUCACAAUUUCUUUCUAAAAACAAAACUAAAUGUCGGCAAAUAAUUAGUAAAUGGCUACAGGCUACUACUAAGUAUAUUAUCAUUCAAUAUCCUUUGUCUGAAAUGGCUAAAAUGAAUAAUAGUAUAUUAGUAAGUCGGUGUUGGUCAGUUACUAUAAAUCACUAUAUCAUCUCUAUUUUAAAAGAUAUUCCCACCGUCGAAUCGUUGUUUUUCUAGAGACAUGCAUGGUGAGCUAGGUACCUCACUCGAAACCGCGUUCACUUCAAGAGUCACAAAACAUCAUCGAAAUAAUUUAUUAGUUAGUUCCUGAUUUUGUUAUUUUACUCAAACAACACUUAUACCUAACUUUACUUUUUAUUUAAUACUUUCGGUUAAUGCUGGGGGACGAGCGCAAUGUUUUGAACCACAAGGUUUUUGUGCAUUACUUGUAGAUGUCACUAAUAACAAUUAUUUAUAAUAGUAGCAGCGUUAACAUUAAUCAAGAUAAUACAUAACUUCCACUCCUUUCUAAUUUUUUUUUUAAAAAUUAUUCUAAACGCUGUAAGGUGUAAGAAAAUCUGGUCUUUUAAUCAGAAUUAGUUUGGAACGGGUCUUUUUGCAAGUUCAAAGAACCGUUUAAUGUAUAUACUGGAAAAAAACUGGUUUAAAUAUGUGACUGAAGCCCGUCUCGUGUUCAAGUUGUGCGGAAUGAAAGAUUUGGAACAAGCCUCGAAUGGUAUUAUGAUCAACACGGGACUCUAUUGCAGGUCAUAAUUGAUCAAUGUUCUCUUUAUGGCUUAAUUCGGUCUUUGUUGUUUAUUGUAUAUAUUGCUUCUUUAAUAAAGUUCCUUAGAUUAAAAAAACAGUUUUCAAAAUUCGAUUUUGAACCUUGUUGACACUCUUUAAUUUGAUUGGAAUUGCCUUAUCGUAAAA